GGUUGAAGCAGCCACUGGCCAUGAACCCACACCAUCACCCACCAGGCACCCAAGAACUGUGACCCUGCAAUUGGACCCGUACUAUCCUCCCAGGGACCAUUUCCUUCCCGCCACCGUGACCCGAGCUGAUGGAUGCCUGCUUCCUGCCCCUGUGGAAGAUGAGGGAGUGAUCCUGAGAGAGAAUAAGCACCAGUGGAUUCUGACACCAGAGAUGCUGUGACCUGAGCCAUUGGAUAUGUUUCCUGACUUGCACUGAAUCCCAUGCCUCACCUGCUUAUAGAGAAGGAAGGAUCUUGGAGAUUUCCUUCAGAACACCACAGGUUCAGGGUUCUCUCCCUGGGCUUCUGGUCUAGCUUCGGAUGCUGGUAAAGGAAGACGUUUUGGUUACAGGAAGGUUUAGAAAAGUCCUCAAGCUCCACAAGCUGCUGAGAUGGUACAGCAGAUAUUUUCCUAGGCUCUGCCCCCUUCUCCCACAAUAGCUACAAUCAACUUGAAUGCAAACCUCCUUGAAUGUUGGCAGCUAACUUUGUUUAUAUGGGAGGGUAAAGCAACAGUGCGACCAUGA
rnacentral:lncRNA from 1 species